UACGGGGGAUGCAAGCGUUAUCCGGAAUCAUUGGGCGUAAAGCGCCUGUAGGUUGUUUAUUAAGUCUGUGGUUAAAGACUAGGGCUCAACCCUAGGAAAGCAAUGGAAACUAAUAGACUAGAGUAUGGCAGGGGUAGAGGGAAUUUCUAGUGUAGCGGUGAAAUGCGUAGAUAUUAGAAAGAACACCAGUGGCGAAAGCGCUCUACUGGACCAUUACUGACACUCAGAGGCGAAAGCUAGGGUAGCAAAAGGGAUUAGAUACCCCUGUAGUCCUAGCCGUAAACGAUGGAUACUAGAUGUUGUGCAUGUACAGUAUCGUAGCUAACGCGUUAAGUGUUCCGCCUGGGGAGUACGCACGCAAGUGUG
rnacentral:rRNA from 1 species